GACGAACGCUGGCGGCGUGCUUAACACAUGCAAGUCGAACGGAAAGGCCCUGCUUUUGUGGGGUUCUCGAGUGGCGAACGGGUGAGUAACACGUGAGUAACCUGCCCUUGACUUUGGGAUAACUUCAGGAAACUGGGGCUAAUACCGGAUAGGAUCUCCUGCUGCAUGGUGGGGGUUGGAAAGUUUCGGCGGUUGGGGAUGGACUCGCGGCUUAUCAGCUUGUUGGUGGGGUAGUGGCUUACCAAGGCUUUGACGGGUAGCCGGCCUGAGAGGGUGACCGGCCACAUUGGGACUGAGAUACGGCCCAGACUCCUACGGGCGGCAGCAGUGGGGAAUAUUGCACAAUGGGCGGAAGCCUGAUGCAGCAACGCCGCGUGCGGGAUGACGGCCUUCGGGUUGUAAACCGCUUUCGCCUGUGACGAAGAGUGAGUGACGGUAAUGGGUAAAGAAGCACCGGCUAACUACGUG
rnacentral:rRNA from 1 species